UGGGGAAUAUUGCACAAUGGGCGCAAGCCUGAUGCAGCCAUGCCGCGUGUAUGAAGAAGGCCUUCGGGUUGUAAAGUACUUUCAGCGGGGAGGAAGGCGAUAAGGUUAAUAACCUUGUCGAUUGACGUUACCCGCAGAAGAAGCACCGGCUAACUCCGUGCCAGCAGACGCGGUCAUACGGAGGGUGCAAGCGUUAAUCGGAAUUACUGGGCGUAAAGCGCACGCAGGCGGUCUGUCAAGUCGGAUGUGAAAUCCCCGGGCUCAACCUGGGAACUGCAUUCGAAACUGGCAGGCUAGAGUCUUGUAGAGGGGGGUAGAAUUCCAGGUGUAGCGGUGAAAUGCGUAGAGAUCUGGAGGAAUACCGGUGGCGAAGGCGGCCCCCUGGACAAAGACUGACGCUCAGGUGCGAAAGCGUGGGGAGCAAACA
rnacentral:rRNA from 1 species